CCCCUAGAUGUUCUGGGCCGCACGCGCGCUACACUGAACAGUUCAACAAGUCUUAACCUUGGCCGAUAGGUCUGGGUAUUCUUUGAACGCUGUUCGUGAUUGGGAUAGACCUUUGCAAUUAUGGGUCUUCAACGAGGAAUUCCUAGUAAACGCAAGUCAUCAGCUUGCAUUGAUUACGUCCCUGCCCUUUGUACACACCGCCCGUCGCACCUACCGAUUGAAAGGUCCGGUGAAAUCUCGGGACGGCGGCUUGGUCGCUUGCGUCCGACUGCUGAAACUUGAUUAAACCAUAUCAUUUAGAGGAAGGUGAAGUCGUAACA
rnacentral:rRNA from 1 species